rnacentral:lncRNA from 1 species
ACAACCUUCGCGCAGAAAGUAGAGAGAAAAACGGCAAUAGGGUUGUUUGGCUAAGCUUCAAAAUAAUUAACAAUCUUUUUAUUGAUAAAAAUUGAAAGGAGGGUGCUACAUGUUACAGCUCAGUGUACAGUUUCCUCACAUGAGGGGCGAAGCCUGCGCAUUAAUUGGGUGUGGGUACACCGAGCCUUAGUACAAGGGGUAAAAUCCAAGUUGAAAAUAUUAAGUUUAAAGGAUAAGUUUUUUUUUCUCUCUCUCAGAAUAAGUGACUUUUUUACUUAAAAAGUAAGAAAAAGUCAAGGUAAACACAUUUGAAAAAGAAAAGUUAUUUGGUAAGUACUGAACACUCUCCGAACAUCUUAUCUUUGAGAAGUUUGAUAUGCCAUACCAUGGGAAUAGUUCUCAAACGUACUAUAGACCUAAUGUAAAAAUAUUGAUUUUCUUGAUUGGGAUGUUCAAUUUAGUUUUUCUAUUGCUCGUAAGAAAGUAUGGUCUUUUACAAUUUUUUUCAACUUAGUCUGGUGAUCGAUCACCUAGCCAAUUUCUAGGUCAACCAAUAUCUAAUGCAAGCUUCUCUCUUAUAGCCCUAACACUGUGUGCCUUUACUGUUGUCCUUGUUUUCGGGUUCAAUGCAUGUUAAAAUCAGGAAGAAGAGCAAGCCGAGACGACAUAUGGCUGCACCAUCCUUUAGAAUACAUGAUGUGGAUUAUGAAGGUCAUCACCGACUAUGAGGAAGCUCCAAGAAUUCUCUAGAAAAUUAGUGAUGAUUCCUUGCUAAUCAAUUCCUUAAUCCUUGAGCAUUCCUAGAAGAAUCUAGAAGAAACCAAUUGCUUGACAAUUGCCCACUGCCAUACUAGAAGAAUCAAGAAGGAGCAGCAAGUGACUCUCAUCAUUAAUGCAGUGGAAAAAUCUAGAAUGCAUCCCUGCUUAGAAGAUGCUAGAAGAAUCUAAUUACUAUCACCACUGUCAUUUAUGGGUGUCUCUAGAAUUUGGAUUAGCUUCACCAUGGUCAUACUAGAACCAUCCAUUAGCACCUGUAAAUAAAAGGAAGCUGUGUGCAUCAUGGAUGUAUGAAUGAUGAGAGAAAGUGUGUAAAGAUAAGUGAGAGUAAUUAGUACUCCGUUGAGUAUUAUUAGUGGUGUGUUUGUCUUAAAUUGUGUAAGUAAAUUUAUAUCAAUAAAAUCAUUUUCUUUUGGGAUUUAAACUCAACAAUUUGGUAUUAGAGCUCAGCAGAUUAAACCAAGUUCUCUCUUUA